AUGCUACGAUUAUUUAACAUGUUGGAAUUACCGACUGAUUUCUUUUGAUGUCAAUUUACUGGCUUACUGAGGCAAAAA